AGAGUUUGCAAAAGGAAGGCACUUACUAUUUGGAACAUUUGGGAACUGACAAAAUCGAGUUUUACCAGAUCUGGCGAUCUGUGCUGUUACUGAGUUACAUUUUUGCCUUAAAUCGUGGAGAAAAGAUACCCCUCUGAUCAGCCAACAACCCCUUAUCUACUGUCACCAGGUCAAUAAGAAGCCCGUUAUCAGCAGUAGCACCGAGAUGCUGGGCUUUUGAUAGAGGGAGAGGUAGAUUCAAUAGAUACAGCCUGAAAACAGGAUUGUUUUCAAUUCUGGAAAGAACCCCUUUCCAAAAGGCUUAUCUCUAAAAGGGUGCUUUGGGGAUAGACACAUACACCAGGGGAAACACCAUAUGAAGAUGAAGACAGCUUUGGGGUGAUGCAUCCUCAAGCCACGGACCACCCAUGAUUGUCAACAGACCAUCAGAAGCCACAGGGGAGAUUCUCCCUCCCAACCCCAUCCUGGCAGAAGAAAUCAACCCUGUCCACACCUUGAACUUAAAUGUCUAGCGUCCGGAACUGUGAGGUUCUCUUGUUUCAGCACCCAAAGUUUGUGGUACUUUGUUAUGGCAGCCUCAGGAAAUGAGUCCAGGAGUUUAGUUGCAGCAUCAUCUUUAAAAAACUGUGUAUGUUUAUUUAUAAGUGUAGUUCUUGGUGGUUUCGAUCUAUUCUGAAAGAGAUGCUUUGGUUAGUAUUAUUUUGCAUAAGCAAACAUUGUUCGAACCAAACAUUAUCAAGAGCAAAAUGAGGGCGCCUGGGUGGCUCAGUCGGUUAGGCGACUGCCUUCGGCUCAGGUCAUGAUCCUGGAGUCCCAGGAUCGAGUCCCGCAUCGGGCUCCCGGCUCGGCAGGGAGUCUGCUUCUCCCUCUGACCCUCCUCCCUCUCACGCUCUGUGUCUCUCA